rnacentral:rRNA from 1 species
UACGUAGGUGGCGAGCGUUGUCCGGAUUUACUGGGCGUAAAGGGAGCGUAGGCGGACUUUUAAGUGAGAUGUGAAAUACCCGGGCUUAACUUGGGUGCUGCAUUUCAAACUGGAAGUCUAGAGUGCAGAAGAGGAGAAUGGAAUUCCUAGUGUAGCGGUGAAAUGCGUAGAGAUUAGGAAGAACACCAGUGGCGAAGGCGAUUCUCUGGACUGUAACUGACGCUGAGGCUCGAAAGCGUGGGGAGCAAACAGGAUUAGAUACCCCGGUAGUCCCU